GUUACUGAACAUAUUUAGCAAAUAAUUACAUUACCAAAUAUGGGUCUAAAUUUGUUAUAGUAGAGCCCAAUAUUGUAAUAGAUAACUCAAAAAUCCUACUACAUACGAUGGACUUUUUGAAAAUUGAACAUAUUCAGUCCAUUUCUUUUAUGAAUUAUGCAAUAAAUUAAAUAAUAACAAAUUGACUCUCUCGGGACAAAAAAAGGAUUAGGGUUCUAACAAAAUCAAGAUAUUUCACCAGAGGAACACAGGUGAGAAGACGUCUACGAACUACCGAGCAUAUUGUAUUCUUAUUAUUGUCCCUACCACCAAUUCUUUCGAUUACUGAUUCUUUUUUCUUUUCAAUUGAUCUCAUUGAAAAAAAAAACAAAUUUCCCCGACGAUCCUCUGAUUCAUCUGCAAAUCAUUGUCCUCAAAUGGCUUUGGGGAAGAGACGCGGUGGAUUGGUGAUUGCUGGCUGAAUGAUUCCAAAACUGAUACGGAUACAGUGUGCAGAUAGCUGAAGAAUCGAACAUAUAUUGUUUCAGUAUGAUGGAUCUAUUGUGUUUCAGUACUGUCCAGGGUCCAGGGAGCAAUGAUCGUGUAACAUAGUUUCUAUUGUAUUUUUGUUAAAUGUUAAGCUAAUGUAAUUAAGGUAAUAUAAUUUGAAUGAACAUUGGAGAACGACAUUAUUAAGGGUGGACUGUCAAUGGCAUUUGUUGUAAAUUCUCUAGGGAAGAAUGGGCAGUUAAUUAUAUAGGCUGAGAGUGAAUAUGGUGCUGCCACAUAAGGAUGGCAUCCCUGUAAAUAAUUUACACUUGUAAGGUUAUAUUUUCAAAAUGUUUCUUCAUUAAUAAGAAAGGGAUAUAUAUAA